CCUACGGGAGGCAGCAGUGGGGAAUUUUGGACAAUGGGGGCAACCCUGAUCCAGCAAUGCCGCGUGUGUGAAGAAGGCCUUCGGGUUGUAAAGCACUUUUGUCCGGAAAGAAAUCGCGCUGGUUAAUACCUGGCGUGGAUGACGGUACCGGAAGAAUAAGCACCGGCUAACUACGUGCCAGCAGCCGCGGUAAUACGUAGGGUGCGAGCGUUAAUCGGAAUUACUGGGCGUAAAGCGUGCGCAGGCGGUUUGAUAAGACAGGCGUGAAAUCCCCGAGCUUAACUUGGGAAUGGCGCUUGUGACUGUCAGGCUAGAGUAUGUCAGAGGGGGGUAGAAUUCCACGUGUAGCAGUGAAAUGCGUAGAGAUGUGGAGGAAUACCGAUGGCGAAGGCAGCCCCCUGGGACGUCACUGACGCUCAUGCACGAAAGCGUGGGGAGCA
rnacentral:rRNA from 1 species